GACGAACCGUGCUAACGUUGUUCGGAAUCACUGGGCUUAAAGGGCGCGUAGGCGGUUUGCCAAGUCAGGGGUGAAAUCUUUCGGCCCAACCGGAAAAGGGCCUUUGAUACUGGCAAACUAGAGCGAGGUAGGGGCAGAUGGAACUUCCGGUGGAGCGGUGAAAUGUGUUGAUAUCGGAAGGAACGCCGGUGGCGAAAGCGAUCUGCUGGACCUCUUCUGACGCUGAGGCGCGAAAGCCAGGGGAGCAAAC
rnacentral:rRNA from 1 species